rnacentral:rRNA from 1 species
AGAGUUUGAUCCUGGCUCAGAACGAACGCUGGCGGCAGGCUUAACACAUGCAAGUCGAACGCCCUCUUUUGAGGGAGUGGCAGACGGGUGAGUAACGCGUGGGAAUCUACCUAGUGGUAAGGAACAACACAGAGAAAUUUGUGCUAAUACCUUAUACGCCCUCCGGGGGAAAGAUUUAUCGCCAUUAGAUGGGCCCGCGUUUGAUUAGCUAGUUGGUGAGGUAAUGGCUCACCAAGGCGACGAUCAAUAGCUGGUCUGAGAGGAUGAUCAGCCACACUGGGACUGAGACACGGCCCAGACUCCUACGGGAGGCAGCAGUGGGGAAUAUUGGACAAUGGGCGCAAGCCUGAUCCAGCCAUGCCGCGUGUGUGAUGAAGGCCUUAGGGUUGUAAAGCACUUUCAACGGUGAAGAUAAUGACGGUAACCGUAGAAGAAGCUCCGGCUAACUUCGUGCCAGCAGCCGCGGUAAUACGAAGGGAGCUAGCGUUGUUCGGAAUUACUGGGCGUAA